rnacentral:rRNA from 1 species
AGAUACCCUAUUAUUUUGAAUUUAAAUCGUUUAUUCCUGAUUAGUAGUAGCUAUGUUCUUGAAAAUUAAAGAUUUUGGCGGUACUUUAGUCUGUUCAGAGGAACCUGUCCUGUAAUCGAUAGUCCACGAGUUUUUUUACUUUUUCUUUAAGUUUAUAUAUCGUCGUAGUUUGAAUAUUUUAUCAGGAUUUUAAUAUUCAUAACUUAUUUUUUAAAAUAAUUCAGAUCAAGGUGUGGCUGAUGAAAAAGAAAGUGAUGGGUUACAUUAAAUUUAUUUGGGGAUGAUUUUCUUUAAAAUGAUCUGAACUUGGAUUUGAUAGUAAUUUUAAUUAUUCUAUUAAAAUGAUUUUGGCUCUAAAGUAUGCACAUAUCGC